rnacentral:rRNA from 1 species
CAGCCGCCGCGGUAAUACGAAGGGUGCAAGCGUUAAUCGGAAUUACUGGGCGUAAAGCGUGCGUAGGCGGUUUGUUAAGUCUGUUGUGAAAUCCCCGGGCUCAACCUGGGAAUGGCAAUGGAUACUGGCAAGCUAGAGUGUGUCAGAGGAUGGUGGAAUUCCCGGUGUAGCGGUGAAAUGCGUAGAGAUCGGGAGGAACAUCAGUGGCGAAGGCGGCCAUCUGGGACAACACUGACGCUGAGGCACGAAAGCGUGGGGAGCAAACAGGAUUAGAUACCCCCGUAGUCCCUGUCUCUUAUAC